AGGGUUUGAUCAUGGCUCAGAAUGAACGUUGGCGGCGUGGAUUAGGCAUGCAAGUCGAGCGAGAAGUUUUAAAAAGAUACUUCGGUUGAUUUUUAAAAUGGACAGCGGCGAAAGGGAGAGUAACGAGUAGAUACGUACCCAGGGGUUCGGGAUAGCCAUGCGAAAGCGUGAGUAAUACCGAAUAAUGUCUCCGGACCAAAGAUUUAUUGCCCUUGGAGCGGUUUGCUUACUAUUAGCUUGUUGGUGGGGUAAAGGCCUACCAAGGCUUAGAUGGUUAGCGGGUGUGAGAGCAUGACCCGUCUCACUGGGACUGAGACACUGCCCAGACACCUACGGGUGGCUGCAGUCGAGAAUCUUCCGCAAUGGACGAAAGUCUGACGGAGCGACGCCGCGUGCUGGAUGAAGGCCCUCGGGUUGUAAACAGCUGUCGUAGGGGAGGAAAUUUUGACCGAUCCUAGGAGGAAGCACAGGCUAAGUUCGUGCCAGCAGCCGCGGUAAUACGAACUGUGCAAACGUUAUUCGGAAUCACUGGGCUUAAAGGGUGCGUAGGCGGGCAGGUAGGUCAGAUGUGAAAGCCCACGGCUCAACCGUGGAAUUGCGUUUGAAACCACUUGUCUUGAGGGGAUCAGAGGAGAGCGGAACUGAUGGUGGAGCGGUGAAAUGCGUUGAUAUUAUCAGGAACACCGGUGGCGAAAGCGGCUCUCUGGGAUCCUUCU
rnacentral:rRNA from 1 species